GACGGGGCCCGCACAAGCGGUGGAGCAUGUGGUUUAAUUCGAAGCAACGCGAAGAACCUUACCAGGUCUUGACAUCCCCUGACAACCCGAGAGAUCGGGCGUUCCCCUUCGGGGGACAGGGUGACAGGUGGUGCAUGGUUGUCGUCAGCUCGUGUCGUGAGAUGUUGGGUUAAGUCCCGCAACGAGCGCAACCCUCGACCUUAGUUGCCAGCAUUCAGUUGGGCACUCUAAGGUGACUGCCGGCUAAAAGUCGGAGGAAGGUGGGGAUGACGUCAAGUCCUCAUGGCCCUUACAUCCCGGGCUACACACGUGCUACAAUGGCAGGUACAGAGGGCUGCGAAGCCGCGAGGUGGAGCGAAUCCCAGAAAACCUGUCUCAGUCCGGAUUGAAGUCUGCAACUCGACUUCAUGAAGGCGGAAUCGCUAGUAACCGCGAAUCAGCAGGUCGCGGUGAAUACGUUCCCGGGCCUU
rnacentral:rRNA from 1 species